rnacentral:lncRNA from 1 species
UCGCGAGAUCAGGAAGGUGGCCGAGUGUGUCGCCGCGGCCAUCAGGCACUUCUCCUUCCUGCCCUUGUAUGAAGAAGGAUGUGUUUGCUUCCCCUUGUGCCAUGAUUGUAAAUUUCCUGAGGCCUCCUCAGCCCUGCAGAACUGGCUAGAGCAAUGUAUCUUAGGCUCACUUAAGGAAGCUGUAGAGAUGAGCCCAAGGAGGGAAACCAGAAGAGCCCCCCAGGCUCACCAGUUGUUUGUUGGCUCCCUACAAACAUGUCAUUCAAGUGGCUAAUCUUACAACAGCACAAAUUCAUCUAACCAGAGAUACUCUAUUAUAGCAAAGAAGAAAGAUAAUUUCAUUGAGCCAUCCUGUUUUACAGUAUUGAAUUAUUACCACAAGGUACCAACCAUAUAUGCAUACUUAAUAGGGUAUUUUGUCAAAACUAUGCAUGAAGGUCAUUUGUUUGAGAUGUCAGAACAUUUUCCCGUGAGAAGAUCUCAUUGGGCAUUGAAACAGAACCACAUGCUCUUCAGACCAGCAACCGCGACUACCAAAUACUCCUCUGUCAACUCUACUUGAGUAAGAACGCUUUCAAUUAAGGCCUAAGUGUCAACAUGCCUUUAAAAAAAAUCGUGGUGACACAAAAUCUUUCUUUUUAGCACCCAACAGAAUCCCUUCAAAGCCUCGUGGUCUGACACCCUAUGCUACGUGACUUGUGACCCAUCCAUUUGUCAUGUUCUUCGGGAAUGUGGCUAAGGGGCUAAGAUGUGACUUGAAAAGAAAGGUAGAACAAGAUCAUCUCAAAUUUAUUAUCAAGGAAUAGUUCAGAAAACGACUUCAGACCACAGAGACAGCAGAACAGAUGGUCCGGCAUGGAUAGAGCAUCAGACACUCACAGACUGUGCCAACAAGAGCCAUCGAGUCAAAACAGCCAAAGGAAGGAGGGUCAUGGAAUGGGUUCUCUCACACCAAACUGAUGCCCAGAGGCCCUCAGCAUGAAUAACAAAGGCAACCAGACCCACAAGCCAUACUGAGUGGAUACAAAACCUAUACCUAGGCUGACAUCCCAAAUGUGUGUGGCAAGUUAGAUGAUGAUGGCACAAAAGACAGAACACCUUGCUUCUGGCCAUUGUCAGCUCUUGGAAGAGAGCACACUUUUAGAGGAGCAGCUGCAAGGAGCCUGAGAACAAAACUGGAAAUGUCUGUUAUGAAAGCCUUCACAGGUAUUAUUAACAAAAGAAAAUGUCUAUUUGUCAAUGGUGUUUCAGCUAGAUUUUGGCAGUCCAUUCUUAUGCCCAGGAAUGACCUCUUGUGUAGACUGGAUACAGUCAUCAAUGCAACUGUCCAGGUGCAACUCUUCUAUAAAGGGGAAGAGGAGUGACUUUCCCCUAUACAGUGGCCCUGUCAAAAUUCUAUAAAAAAUAUUGUCCAUUUAAAUUAAAUAACCACUGUGCCCGGCUCCAUUUACCACACUUUUCUAUGCAGUGGAACUGAAGGGGAUUUUUUUUUUUGCUGUCCUCAGAGAAAAAUAAGACUAAGAAUCAACCUUUCUAAUGAGAAUGGAAAUUCUGCAAGUGGCAACGUGGGUCCAUUCCGUGUGUGUCACUAGAGCUGGCGCAAGCCCAUGGCCAUGGUGAGGCAGCGUUUCCACUGGAACUAAUCUGAUACCUGCACCAGCUCUUGCAACUGUGCAGUGUUCCCACUGCAAACUACGGAUGGGGUAAAAGACUGCUCACCUCCUAUUUCUCAUCUAAUCUCACACACUCUGUUUGAUGAGGCUAUGGAGAAACAGGUCUUCUCAUACACUAAAGGUGGGAGUACAAACAAUUCAAGCCCUGUGCAGGACAAUUAGGCAAUACCUAUCAAAAUUAUACAUGAUUUUUCCUGCUGACCCAGCAAUUCCACUUCUGGGAAUAAUUGACAGAUAUAGGUGCAUAUGUACAAAAUGAUGGAAAGCUCUCUGGUAUAUAUUAGUAAGUGAUAAAACAAGGUGUAAAAUAGUGUAUAUAUGGCUACUACCUUUUGUUUUAAAAAUGGGGGAAAAUGGUGGAGCUUGCGGUGAGCCGAGAUCGUGCCACUGCACUCCAGCCUGGGCGACAGAGCGAGACUCCGUCUCAAAAAAAAAACAGGGUGGGGUGGGGGGGAAAUAAUAGUACAUACUCAUAUUUACCUGUAUCUAUAUAAAACACACUAUCAAGGAUUCACAAGAAACUAAUACAAAUGAUCACCUUAUAGAUGGUAUGUAUUGGGGGAUACUGAGGUGAGCAGGGUAUAAGUGGGGCAAGACUUUUCAGUGUAAACUUCUUUUAAAUUUUAUUUUGAUUUUUGAAUAAUGUAAAUUAACUGUCAAAUAAUUAAAUUAAAAAUAACCAAUUUAUUAACAAAA